rnacentral:rRNA from 1 species
CAACAGUACGUGAAACCGCAUAGAGGUAAACGGGUGGAUCCGCAAAGUCGGCCCGCGGAAUUCAGCUCGGAAGGCUGCGCGCCUGCCGCCGGGUAGGAGAUCGCAAGACUCUCCUGGCGUGGGACGCGUGCCGGCCGUGUGCACUUUCCGUGGGCAGAGCGCCACGACCGGUUUCUGGGUGGUCAGAAGGCGGCGAGGAUGGUAGGCGCGCGCCUCGGUGCGCGCUGGUAUAGCCUCGCCUGUCCCGAUCCGCCUGGGGACCGAGGAGCCGCCGUGGGCUGGGGCCGCCUCGCCCUCCCGGGACGUUCGACUGGCAGAGACUGGGUGACCGUGUCUGCCGACCGCUUCCUGGGACGGACUGGGGUGGGCCCGCCCUCACAGGGUCAGUGGCGAAUCGGUCGGCCCUCCACCCGACCCGUCUUGAAACACGGACCAAGGAGUCUAACAUGCGCGCGAGUCGUUGGGUCGUACGAAACCCGAAGGCGAAGUGAAAGCGAGGGCCGUCUCUGACGUGCUCAGGUGGGAUCCUGGUCCCUCUUCGGGCUGGGCGCACCACCGGCCCGUCUCGUCCGCGCUGU